ACGGAAGGCAGCAGUGGGGAAUAUUGCACAAUGGGGGAAACCCUGAUGCAGCGACGCCGCGUGAGUGAAGAAGUAUCUCGGUAUGUAAAGCUCUAUCAGCAGGGAAGAAAAUGACGGUACCUGACUAAGAAGCCCCGGCUAACUACGUGCCAGCAGCCGCGGUAAUACGUAGGGGACAAGCGUUAUCCGGAUUUACUGGGUGUAAAGGGUGCGUAGGCGGCAAAGCAAGUCAGAAGUGAAAGCCCGCGGCUCAACUGCGGGACUGCUUUUGAAACUGUUUAGCUAGAGUACUGGAGGGGCAAGCGGAAUUCCUGGUGUAGCGGUGAAAUGCGUAGAUAUCAGGAAGAACACCGGAGGCGAAGGCGGCUUGCUGGACAGAGACUGACGCUGAGGCACGAAGGCGUGGGGAGCAAACAGGAUUAGAUACCCUGGUA
rnacentral:rRNA from 1 species